rnacentral:rRNA from 1 species
GGAUCCAGACUUUGAUUCUGGCUCAGGAUGAACGCUAGCUACAGGCUUAACACAUGCAAGUCGAGGGGAAACGACAUCGAAAGCUUGCUUUUGAUGGGCGUCGACCGGCGCAUGGGUGAGUAACGCGUAUCCAACCUGCCCACCACUUGGGGAUAACCUUGCGAAAGUAAGACUAAUACCCAAUGAUAUCUCUAGAAGACAUCUGAAAGAGAUUAAAGAUUUAUCGGUGAUGGAUGGGGAUGCGUCUGAUUAGCUUGUUGGCGGGGUAACGGCCCACCAAGGCAACGAUCAGUAGGGGUUCUGAGAGGAAGGUCCCCCACAUUGGAACUGAGACACGGUCCAAACUCCUACGGGAGGCAGCAGUGAGGAAUAUUGGUCAAUGGACGAGAGUCUGAACCAGCCAAGUAGCGUGCAGGAUGACGGCCCUAUGGGUUGUAAACUGCUUUUAUAAGGGAAUAAAGUGAGUCUCGUGAGACUUUUUGCAUGUACCUUAUGAAUAAGGACCGGCUAAUUCCGUGCCAGCAGCCGCGGUAAUACGGAAGGUCCGGGCGUUAUCCGGAUUUAUUGGGUUUAAAGGGAGCGUAGGCCGGAGAUUAAGCGUGUUGUGAAAUGUAGACGCUCAACGUCUGCACUGCAGCGCGAACUGGUUUCCUUGAGUACGCACAAAGUGGGCGGAAUUCGUGGUGUAGCGGUGAAAUGCUUAGAUAUCACGAAGAACUCCGAUUGCGAAGGCAGCUCACUGGAGCGCAACUGACGCUGAAGCUCGAAAGUGCGGGUAUCGAACAGGAUUAGAUACCCUGGUAGUCCGCACGGUAAACGAUGGAUGCCCGCUGUUGGUCUGAAUAGGUCAGCGGCCAAGCGAAAGCAUUAAGCAUCCCACCUGGGGAGUACGCCGGCAACGGUGCAACUCAAAGGAAUUGACGG